UGAUAUUUAAACUCUUAAAUUAAAUGCUCUUAAAUAUAUGACGAAAUUAACAAUUAUCAAAUAUUUUUCAACAAAUAUUUAAUCACCUAAACAAGUAUACUCAAAGGAAAAUUAAAAUCAAGACACAAGAUCAAUCUAAUCACCUAAACAAAAAAUUAAUUCAUAACUUAUAAAUUAAAUCCAAUAUGUAAUUAAGAGGUAAGAAUAGAAAAAUUACAAAAUCGAUUAUCAUGGAGGUUCAACCAUCCACAUGUGCUUACGUCAUCUCUUCGAGUCAACCGCUUAAGUACUUCAACUAUCUUCUUAUAUUCUGAUAAGUGUUUAUUUUUUAGGUGUAUAGUUUCAUCAUUUACAAAUUACUUAUUUAUCUUGGUAUCAAGCUUUACCAAUUAAGUGCUACUCUCAAUACUUAACCCUCAAGAGGUUCACACAACUCUUUAUACAAACGCUCAAGAAUAUAUAAUGAAAUAUUUAAACUUUCUUAUCACAAAGAUAAAAAUUAUAAGAUCACAUUAAGAAAUUAUAGAAAUGAUUUUUGAAGAUUAAUCUCAAGAUAAUUUGAUUAUUUUAAGUAUUUAGCUCAAGAAAAUUUUCUCAAAAUAAAUCUUUGUUUUCAAACUUCAAGUAUUUGAAAGAAUAAAAGCAAUAAGCUUUCUAUAAAAAGUAGAUUUUUAAGUUAAAACUAGACAAGAAAAUAUAUAUUUUUUUUUUCAAAUGAUUAAAUCAAAUUUUAACCCUAAUACAUCUUCCAAAAUUUUAUUCAAUAAAAAGAUAUAUGAAUAAUAUCUAAAAUCAUAAAAAAGUAUUAAAUAUUAUUUCGAGAAUCCCUUAUUUAAGAAUAGAUAAUAACAUGAAGAAAAAGAAGAUUUAAAAUUUUGAAGUUAAAAGAAAGUGGAAAGAUUUCUUUUUAAGAUUUAAAUUUGACUCUUAAAAAUCAUGAAGCAUUAAUAGAUAAAAUCUUCUUAUAGUUAGCAUUAAAUGCACGUAGAAGAAGUAGAAACACACGUCUACAAAGUCCAAGUCAUGCAAAUAUAAUCCUCCCAUCGUUACAUACAUUCUCAUAAUGAGCCUCACAUGCAUCACAUAACUUUUACCUUCAUUAUCUUAAGUAGUUUUUAAUCCAAAUUUUCUUCCAACUUUUCUAUCCUGAGGAAAAGACUAUUCAAAAUAUUUUUUUAGAAAGAAGAUCACAAGGAAAUUAACUUUAAAAUACUUUAUAAUAUAAGUCAAUUUUCACAUAAAUUCAUUAAUAAUUUUAUCAAACUUUAAAAAAGCUAAGAAAUUAUACAAAUAAUUUUUCACGUAAACAAUAUCAAAAAUAAAAUUUAAAGAUACUAAACUUGAUUAUUCAAUAUUCUCCAAAAUGAAUCUUAAGCAAAAAAAAUGGAACACCUACUUCCAUUAGAUGGCAUUAUAUCUAGAGACUUAUAUUUCUAAUUUCAUCUCUUUCAAAUAUAUCAAUGUAAUCUCCAAGAACUACAUCUUCUUUUUCCUCCUCUUUUUGCCUAUGUCCAAGAGAUCUUUAAUCUCUACUUCCACUACUUUUAGUAUUGUUAUAAAUAUUGUUUUAAAAUCUCACUUUAAAACAAUAAUAAUACAAAUUAAGUAAUUGUCAUUUUAUCAAAAUCAAUGCAUGUACUCCAACAAUAUCCUCUUUUUAAUAGAUAAGAAAACCUAAUGUAUUCUUUUAACUAAUCAUUAAAUAAUAAAAGAGGAGGAUGCUAUGGCUUACUCAAUAAGUUAAUCAUGAUUCCCUACCUCAACAAAGCUUAUGAAGCUUCUUAACUUGAAGACGCUUAAAGAACACUCACAAAAUUAGUAAAGCUAAUUUUAAGAAGCAAGUAAAAGCUUGAAACUCUAUUAAUUUUCUGAAUUCUUGAAUUAUGUUUACAAUCUAACGAUUGAAGCAUUUAUAUGGGUUUUUAUUUACUAAUCCGAUGUGAAAUAGGAUUGCAUAUUCCUAUUUGAACUCUUAAAACUAAUUUAACUAGGACUCUUAUUGAAACUUAAUUAAUUAAUAGAAUUCUAAUCUACAAAAAUUAAAAAAAAUUAAUAAAAUAAACUAUUUAAUUAAAGAAGACUUCUUUUCCUUAUAGCCUCUUUUAUGCUUCAAUUUGCUUUGAAUUUUAGUAGAAACCUGCAGN
rnacentral:lncRNA from 1 species